UGUGAAGAAGGCCUUCGGGUUGUAAAGCACUUUUAAUAGGGAGGAAAAUAACAAUAGUAAUAUUAUUGUUAUCUGACAUUACUUAUAGAAAAAGCACCGGCUAACUCCGUGCCAGCAGCCGCGGUAAUACGGAGGGUGCUAGCGUUAAUCGGAAUUACUGGGCGUAAAGAGUACGUAGGCGGUUUUCUAAGUCGGAUGUGAAAUCCCUAGGCUUAACCUAGGAACGGCAUUCGAAACUGGUAAGCUAGAGUCUCAUAGAGGGGGGUAGAAUUCCAGGUGUAGCGGUGAAAUGCGUAGAGAUCUGGAGGAAUACCGGUGGCGAAGGCGGCCCCCUGGGUGAAGACUGACGCUGAGGUACGAAAGCGUGGGGAGCGAACAGGAUUAGAUACCCUGGUAGUCCAGGCUGUAAACGAUGUCGAUUUGAAGGUUGUGGUCAUUGAACUAUGGCUUUCGGAGCUAACGUGUUAAAUCGACCGCCUGGGGAGUACGGCCGCAAGGUUAAAACUCAAAUGAAUUGACGGGGGCCCGCACAAGCGGUGGAGCAUGUGGUUUAAUUCGAUGCAACGCGAAGAACCUUACCUACUCUUGACAUCCAAAGAACUACGUAGAGAUACAUAGGUGCCUUCGGGAACUUUGAGACAGGUGCUGCAUGGCUGUCGUCAGCUCGUGUUGUGAAAUGUUGGGUUAAGUCCCGCAACGAGCGCAACCCUUAUCCUUUGUUGCCAUCGAGUUAUGUCGGGAACUCAAAGGAGACUGCCGGUGAUAAGCCGGAGGAAGGUGGGGAUGACGUCAAGU
rnacentral:rRNA from 1 species